rnacentral:lncRNA from 1 species
GGGCUGGGGAGCGGAGCCAGAUCCGGGCUGCCUGCCACCGGUGCACGUCCACUAGCUGGGGAGGAGCGCUCCACCAGCUACUGACAAAGGAUGGGAGGAUGCCGGUUCCCCGGGAUGCCGGCUGCGCGCAGCCUGGUGGCCGCCUGAGCCACUUCACCCUCCGCCGGUGAGUGAUUGCAAAGAUCAUUCAAUCAGCCUCGCUGUGAGUUCGCACUCUCUUCCGCUUUCUGUCCUGGGAGGUUAUCUCUGAUCCCAAGCGCGGGACUUGGCACAGCACUAGCCCGAAGCGCAGGCAGUAGGUGCCUUUGCUCGGUGGAACUGUGUCAGAGCUUAUGCUCCUGGUUGGGGUUUGUGCGGCUUGUUGGGACCCAACCCGCUGGCGAGAGCUCGCCUAGGAGGCGCCGCUCUGGUGAGUGGAGGCUGCUCCAGCUGGUUGCCUGAGGUAGUUACCUCUAUUGGACCCCAGCGCCCACCGUGCGCUCACGCUGCUUCUGUGGAUCCCGAGUGCAAAGCGCACUGUUUACACCCGCGUGGUACUAGUCAUCCAGCCGCACCCCUCCGAAAGCGCUGAGUCGAUGACUGUCACUCCACAGGCUCACGCACUCCCAGUGUGGGCUUGAGGGAGCAAGCACUGGUUACCCAGGGAGGGAGCGCACCACGGAAGACUGAGGGCAGUCUUUGUCUUGGGUUUAUAGCUGAUGCGCUCAAACCUGAGUCAGGCUCACUGCAACUGUAGGGUCCAAUCCUGGUUCCCUGCACCCACCCCACUGGGCGAGGGAUGUCAUUGUGUUCCGGAGGCAGGCGGGAUUGAGAGCUGGAGAUUUAAGACACCGAAGGGUCCUGCGCUCACGGGUGAGUGUCACAGUUUUCUAGGUGUAGAGCUAG